CAAAUUAGAGCUUGAAUAGUAAAGCAUUUCAUUUACAUUGAAAAGUUGUCGUGCAAUUCGAUUUAAUUUGA
rnacentral:tRNA from 1 species